rnacentral:rRNA from 1 species
AUUGAACGCUGGCGGCAGGCCUAACACAUGCAAGUCGAGCGGAGCGGCGGACGGGUGAGUAAUGCCUCGGAAUCUGCCUGGUCGUGGGGGAUAACUUCCGGAAACGGGCGCUAAUACCGCAUACUAUCAGAUGGGCCUAGGUCGGAUUAGCUAGUUGGUGGGGUAAAGGCCUACCAAGACGACGAUCCGUAGCUGGUUUGAGAGGAUGAUCAGUCACACUGGAACUGAGACACGGUCCAGACUCCUACGGGAGGCAGCAGUGGGGAAUAUUGGACAAUGGGCGAAAGCCUGAUCCAGCCAUGCCGCGUGUAUGAAGAAGGCCUUCGGGUUGUAAAGUACUUUCAGCGGGGAGGCGUUACCCGCAGAAGAAGCACCGGCUAACUCCGUGCCAGCAGCCGCGGUAAUAC